rnacentral:rRNA from 1 species
AGUGAACGCUGGCGGUAGGCCUAACACAUGCAAGUCGAACGGCAGCACAGUAAGAGCUUGCUCUUACGGGUGGCGAGUGGCGGACGGGUGAGGAAUACAUCGGACUCUACUUUUUCGUGGGGGCUAACGUAGGUAAACUUACGCUAAUACCGCAUCCGACCUACGGGUGAAAGCAGGGGAUCUUCGGACCUUGCGCGAUUGAAUGAGCCGAUGUCGGAUUAGCUAGUUGGCGGGGUAAAGGCCCACCAAGGCGACGAUCCGUAGCUGGUCUGAGGGGAUGAUCAGCCACACUGGAACUGAGACACGGUCCAGACUCCUACGGGAGGCAGCAGUGGGGAAUAUUGGACAAUGGGCGCAAGCCUGAUCAAGCCAUAACGCGUGGGUGAAGAAGGCCUUCGGGUUGUAAAGCCCUUUUGUUGGGAAAGAAAAGCAGCAGGUUAAUACCCCGCUGUUCUGACGGUACCCAAAGAAUAAGCACCGGCUAACUUCGUG